rnacentral:rRNA from 1 species
AGAGUUUGAUCCUGGCUCAGAGUGAACGCUGGCGGUGUGCCUAAUACAUGCAAGUCGAACGAUGAAGCUUCUAGCUUGCUAGAAGUGGAUUAGUGGCGCACGGGUGAGUAAUGCAUAGGUAACAUGCCCUUUAGUCUGGGAUAGCCACUGGAAACGGUGAUUAAUACUAGAUACUCCCUACGGGGGAAAGAAUUUUGCUAAAGGAUUGGCCUAUGUCCUAUCAGUUUGUUGGUGAGGUAAUGGCUUACCAAGACUAUGACGGGUAUCCGGCCUGAGAGGGUGAACGGACACACUGGAACUGAGACACGGUCCAGACUCCUACGGGAGGCAGCAGUAGGGAAUAUUGCUCAAUGGGGGAAACCCUGAAGCAGCAACACCGCGUGGAGGAUGAAGGUUUUAGGAUUGUAAACUCCUUUUAUAAGAGAAGAUUAUGACGGUAUCUUAUGAAUAAGCACCGGCUAACUCCGUGCCAGCAGCCGCGGUAAUACGGAGGGUGCAAGCGUUACUCGGAAUCACUGGGCGUAAAGAGCGCGUAGGCGGAAUAAUAAGUCAGAUGUGAAAUACUAUGGCUUAACCAUAGAACUGCAUUUGAAACUGUUAUUCUAGAGUGUGGGAGAGGUAAGUGGAAUUCUUGGUGUAGGGGUAAAAUCCGUAGAGAUCAAGAGGAAUACUCAUUGCGAAGGCGACUUACUGGAACAUUACUGACGCUGAUGUGCGAAAGCGUGGGGAGCAAACAGGAUUAGAUACCCUGGUAGUCCACGCCCUAAACUAUGGAUGCUAGUUGUUGCUCUGCUUGUCAGGGCAGUAAUGUAGCUAACGCAUUAAGCAUCCCGCCUGGGGAGUACGGUCGCAAGAUUAAAACUCAAAGGAAUAGACGGGGACCCGCACAAGCGGUGGAGCAUGUGGUUUAAUUUCGAAGAUACGCGAAGAACCUUACCUAGGCUUGACAUUGAUAGAAUUUGUUAGAGAUAGCAAAAGUGCCACGCAAGUGGAGCUUGAAAACAGGUGCUGCACGGCUGUCGUCAGCUCGUGUCGUGAGAUGUUGGGUUAAGUCCCGCAACGAGCGCAACCCUCGUCCUUAGUUGCUAGCAGUUCGGCUGAGCACUCUAAGGAGACUGCUUCUGUAAGGAAGAGGAAGGUGAGGACGACGUCAAGUCAUCAUGGCCCUUACGCCUAGGGCUACACACGUGCUACAAUGGGAUAUACAAAGAGAUGCAAUACUGCGAAGUGGAGCUAAUCUCAAAAAUAUCUCUCAGUUCGGAUUGUAGUCUGCAACUCGACUACAUGAAGCUGGAAUCGCUAGUAAUCGUGAAUCAGCCAUGUCACGGUGAAUACGUUCCCGGGUCUUGUACUCACCGCCCGUCACACCAUGGGAGUUGUAUUCGCCUUAAGCCGGGAUGUUAAAAUAACUACUGUCUACGGCGGAUACAGCGACUGGGGUGAAGUCGUAACAAGG